GGCUCAGAUUGAACGCUGGCGGAAUGCUUUACACAUGCAAGUCGAACGGUAGAGGGGGCAACCCCUUGAGAGUGGCGAACGGGUGAGUAAUAUAUCGGAACGUGCCCAGUCGUGGGGGAUAACGUAGCGAAAGUUACGCUAAUACCGCAUACGAUCUAAGGAUGAAAGCGGGGGAUCGCAAGACCUCGCGCGAUUGGAGCGGCCGAUAUCAGAUUAGGUAGUUGGUGAGGUAAAGGCUCACCAAGCCAACGAUCUGUAGCUGGUCUGAGAGGACGACCAGCCACACUGGAACUGAGACACGGUCCAGACUCCUACGGGAGGCAGCAGUGGGGAAUUUUGGACAAUGGACGCAAGUCUGAUCCAGCCAUUCCGCGUGCAGGAUGAAGGCCCUCGGGUUGUAAACUGCUUUUGUACGGAACGAAAAGGUUUGUCUUAAUACGAUGAGCUCAUGACGGUACCGUAAGAAUAAGCACCGGCUAACUACGUG
rnacentral:rRNA from 1 species